UGUGUUAGUAGUUCAAUACGUAGCUGAAUCCAUGGAAGAACUACAGAGAAUGAAUGUCUAAUUUUGGCAACACAUCUACCAGGAAGUUAAAACAGACUUCUGAUCAAGACAGCUAGACCCAAUAGACGACAGAGCCGUGUCCAGAAUUGGCCAAGCACAUGGAUACGCUCCAGGAUUUUUGUACUCUGGGAGAAGUCUCUUGAGACUAAGAUGCCAUCACAUUGAGGUACAAUUUCAAUGUCACAAAUUUUGUGUCCUCACUGUGGUGAGUGCGCCUGCAGAUGGUCCUUCUGGAAACGGACCCCCGAU
rnacentral:lncRNA from 1 species